ensembl:miRNA Gm27760 predicted gene, 27760
AGCGUACAGCUGGGCAGGCUGAGGUCCAGAGGUGGUAAAAGCUUCAGAAGAGAAGGUUCUUCCCUGGAGUGUUACAGCUCAGUGAGACAGGCAUUCUCAGACAAUCUUUGGUGA